GUGAGGAAUAUUGGUCAAUGGGUGCAAGCCUGAACCAGCCAUGCCGCGUGCAGGAAGACGGUCCUAUGGAUUGUAAACUGCUUUUAUUUGGGAAUAAACUCCGGUACGUGUACCGGCCUGAAGGUACCAAAUGAAUAAGCACCGGCUAACUCCGUGCCAGCAGCCGCGGUAAUACGGAGGGUGCAAGCGUUAUCCGGAAUCAUUGGGUUUAAAGGGUCCGCAGGCGGUCUUAUAAGUCAGUGGUGAAAGCCUACAGCUCAACUGUAGAACUGCCAUUGAUACUGUAGGACUUGAAUUCGAUCGAAGUGGGCGGAAUGUGACAUGUAGCGGUGAAAUGCUUAGAUAUGUCACAGAACACCGAUAGCGAAGGCAGCUCACUAGGUCUGGAUUGACGCUCAGGGACGAAAGCGUGGGUAGCGAACAGGAUUAGAAACCCCGGUAGUCC
rnacentral:rRNA from 1 species